UACGGCGAGUGAAGCGGCAAGAGCUCAAAUUUGAAAGCUGGCUCCUUCGGGGUCCGCAUUGUAAUUUGCAGAGGAUGCUUCGGGAGCGGUCCCCAUCUAAGUGCCCUGGAACGGGACGUCAUAGAGGGUGAGAAUCCCGUAUGGGAUGGGGUGUCCGCGCCCGUGUGAAGCUCCUUCGACGAGUCGAGUUGUUUGGGAAUGCAGCUCUAAAUGGGUGGUAAAUUUCAUCUAAAGCUAAAUAUUGGCCGGAGACCGAUAGCGCACAAGUAGAGUGAUCGAAAGAUGAAAAGCACUUUGAAAAGAGAGUUAAAAAGCACGUGAAAUUGUUGAAAGGGAAGCGCUUGCGACCAGACUCGCUCGCGGGGUUCAGCCGGCAUUCGUGCCGGUGUAUUUCCCCGCGGGCGGGCCAGCGUCGGUUUGGGCGGUCGGUCAAAGGCCCUCGGAAGGUAACGCCCCUAGGGGCGUCUUAUAGCCGAGGGUGCAAUGCGACCUGCCUAGACCGAGGAACGCGCUUCGGCUCGGACGCUGGCAUAAUGGUCGUAAGCGACCCGUCUU
rnacentral:rRNA from 1 species